GGCGGUUCUCCGGUAACACACUGGAAUUGGGCUCCCUCCUCUCUGGUUCUGGGGUGCAUCACCCAAGAACCACC
rfam:Myotis lucifugus cont2.46107, whole genome shotgun sequence.